AACGAACGCUGGCAGCGUGGAUUAGGCAUGCGAAGUCGGACGGGAUCGGCCGGAUAGCAAUAUUCGGCCGUGAGAGUGGCGGAUUGGGAGGAGCACGUGAGCAACCUGCCCUGGAGAUGUGGAAAACCUCUGGAAACGGAGGCUAAUACAGAAUGUGGCGCCCGACGGCAUCGUCGGAGCGCCAAGGGGGCCGCAAGGCUCCCGCUCCGGGAUGGGCUCGCGCACCAUCAGCUAGUUGGCGGGGUAACGGCCCACCAAGGCCUACGGUUAGCUGGUCUGAGAGGAUGACCAGCCCCACUGGGACUGAGAUACUGCCCAGACUCCUACGGGAGGCUGCAGUCGAGGAUCAUUCGCAAUGGGCGAAAGCCUGACGAUGCGACGCUGCGUGGAGGAAUGAAGGCCUUCGGGUCGUAAACUCCUGUCAUGGGGGAAGAGGCGAGGGAAGCGAACACCUUCCUUAGUUGACUGUACCCCAAGAGGAAGCGACGGCUAACUCUGUGCCAGCAGCGGC
rnacentral:rRNA from 1 species